GGCGUCGCGGGACGUGGGCAGGGCGAGUGGACACUGCGAGGUACUGGGUGGCACGGGCAGCUGAUGGUGAGGGCCUGCGGCCUUAGCCGAGAUGCCGCGACCCCCCGGGAUGAUCCCGAGGCCGGGGCGCAACCCCUGCCUGCCUUGCCGUUAACGGCCAGCCCCCAGCCUCCUGCUUGUGUUGGCUUUGAACUUCUCCUGGGGAAGACUGCCUAGUCUCCAGAACAAGGUUCUCGACCAAGGAGUGGCAAUCACCCUCUACAAAAUGCCAGAUGGUAUCUCUGUCCAUCUCCAGUGUCGUUGGGAAGCAGCUGUGGAUGUACCUAAAUGAAUGAGCAUCCUUAUUUGCCAAUAAAUCUUCUUGAACUCUAAAA